GUGCACCAGGCGAGAAAACUUCACAAUGUGCGAAAGCACGAUGAGGGAAUCCCAAGUGCUUGCACGUAAGUGUAAGCUGUUUCUCUGUCUAAAACGCAGAGGGAGUAAGGGCUGGGUAAGACGGGUGCCAGCCGCCGCGGUAAUACCUGCAGCUCGAGUGGUGACCGUUAUUAUUGGGCCUAAAACGUCCGUAGCCGGUUUAAUAAAUGCCUGGGUAAAUCGGACCGCUUAACGGUUCGAAUUCCGGGUAGACUGUUAAACUUGAGACCGGGAGAAGUUAGAGGUACUCCUGGGGUAGAGGUGAAAUUCUGUAAUCCUAGGGGGACCACCAGUGGCGAAGGCGUCUAACUAGAACGGGUCUGACGGUGAGGGACGAAGCCCUGGGGCGCAAACGGGGAUUAGAUACCCGUGUAGU
rnacentral:rRNA from 1 species